UAUGUGUUAAUUUUUAAUUAAUUGAUUAAUUUUCAAUUUUAUUUUUGAGACAAGGUCUUGCUCUGUUAUCCAGGCUGAAGUGUAGUGGCAUGAUCAUGGCUCACUGCAGCCUCGGCCUCCUGGGCUCAAGAGAUUCUCCCACCUCUCCCAGCCUCCAGAGUAGCUGAAACUAUAGGCAUACACCACCAUGCCCAGAUAAUUUUUUUAAAUUUUUUUGUAAAGACAGAAUCCUACUGUGUUGUCCAGGCUCACAUGCUAGUUUAAUAAAAAAAAAACAAAAUGAAACUCUAUGAAUUUGAUGAAAUUAUUAUUCUCAAUUUAUUCCUAAGUGAAGUUAAAAUGUUUUCCCAAGGUCACCUAACCAGUAUGCAUUAGGCUCAGUAAUCAACCUGAAAUAGUCAGAUUCCAUGAGUUAUACUCACGCAGUAGAGAGAAGUUUCAUAAAUUAUUGUUGAAUUAGUGCAGCAGGCAACGAAGAAGCAAUGAAUCAAAAGUCUAAUUACUUUGGACUCUGUUGCCAACAUGUUCAUCUACCUGGCAGGAAUUCUCCCAAGGACCUCAGUUAAGUAAGUCAAUAGAUCCAGGUCAAACAAGACAGAUGGCUAUUUUUGAAAACACAGAUCCCGAUACAACAGCAACAAUAGUACUAGUAAAGGUAAAGAAAGAUUGGAGAUAACCCAACUUAUUCAUUGACUCCCACAGGCACCUGCAACUCCCUUAAGCUCUGCCUCAGGGGGAUGUAGGAAGGCCACACCAGAGCUCAAAUAUGUCAAUCUUUCCCAGUCAGUAGUCAAUGAAGUAAAGUAAAACUAUGAGAACUGCUUACAGACAGUUUUAUGAGAUAAUGUUUUCAAAUUAUAUAUAUAUAUUCAUACAUACACAUAUGUACAAUUAUAUAUGUAAAAUGUAUACACAUAUAUACACACAUAGCCACUAUGCUAUAUGAUUUAAUCUAAAAUAAUAAAAAGGAAAUAUUUUCAAAAUAAUAAUUCUAGAAUGAUUUAGAUUGUUUUUAAAAAGUAACAGAGCAUUGACAUAAUUAGAGUUCAAUCACUGUUUAGAUGAUAGAAUUUUAAUCUAUGAAUAGAAUAAUGAAGAAUCCAACCUGGAAGUGUAUUAAAAUAAAGACUCUAACAUCAGAACAUCUUUUAAUGGAUAUCACCACAGUUAUUGGACAAAGGUGAAAAAAAUUAUUAUUGCAAUUUAUAUAAUUUUUAAAACUUUUCAUGUAAUUCCUGAAGCUAAUUUAAGCAUUCAUAACAUUCUUAUGCAAAGUGCUCUGUUAUAUAUAAAGGUAUUCCCUA
rnacentral:lncRNA from 10 species